UUUUGUUUGAUCGCAAUUAAAUUUUCAGAAAUAAUAAAAACUCUCUAGAUACUGCAAUUUAAUGAAUAAGAAAUAAGCUUCAAAUGAAUCCCUCUUAAUCGUUACUUCCAUGAACUAAACGUUUGACUUGACGAUAAGUUCAACUGACUGCGUCAAGUGUGUGCACAUACUGACUGUGUGUGUGUGUGUGUUUGUAUGUGACUGUGUGUGUGUGCGGGUAUGAAUGUGUUCUACUCUCAGUGUGGUCUUGAUGUUUGUAAGUUUAAGUGGUAGAUAUUAUUCAAAAGGAAUUAAGACUGAAAUGAAAAGCUUGUCGACGAUGAUGAGAGGAGGAAACGGUGACUGAAGAGCACUGACGACAACGACGGCAAUGGGCAACGUGAGACGUGUGACGUGCAACGUGAGAGAUGCCAAACGAAAGCUGCUGUGGAAUGGCAACCGCAGGACGAACGCUUUUAAUAAAUAUGACUGUUUACAGAUGCAGCUGCGUAGGUGUGGGUGUGUGUAUGUGCGGUGCUUGUCAUGCAAAUGUCAAGAGAAAAGAGCAACAACUCGGUGAAUGGGCAAAGGGAGAGAAAGAGAGGGGUUUAAUUACAAAAUCAAAAUAAAAGCCAUGCGUUAGAAGGGAACAACUAGAUAGUAGGUAGAUAGUUGCCCCUUUUACUGCCAUUUAAAGGCGGCCUUUGCAUAAUGUCAAACGUCAAAUGUAAACUACAAAGAUCCACGACGCAUGGCGGUGCGGUGAAUGAAAGGCAGCUAAAGUGUCAACAUAAUAACUUCAUUACUAUGGCGACGUCAGUGAAGGUGACGCGUUUGCAGAUGCAGACGAAGACGCAGGCGCUAACAUAGACGCGAACGAGGUGCAAAGGACGAAGGAUACGCGAAGGAGAGGCCAAUCUAAACACAAACAGCAACAUCACAUGCCGCAACUGCAACUGCAACGAUGAUUGGGUUAGUGGCAAACGUAAUUCGCCAUGAACCAAGAGCCAGAUAUGCAAAUUAAGACAGGAGACGACUAGGCGGAACAUGAGUGGUUAGCAUAUUUGCUCAGUUGCGGCCCAAAUGAGUUUGGAUAGCUGCACAUAAAUUAUCCUGCAGUGCAGUGCAAUGGCUCAUAAAGUAAACCGAAAUUACGGAAAUCCAUCUGAUUUUGCUUUAAAAAUUACUUCUAAUCAAACUGCUAUUCAUCUGUUUUCUCGCUAUUCUAUCAAUAGUUUAUGCCUUCUAACAUAGAUUUCAAAAUCGAAGCUUCAGUCAAUGCGAUCAGAGAGAACUAAAUAGUCAAGUGUCGCACAAGUGUCGCAAAUAGACAAAAUGCAAUACAACACUGUGGCUGAGCGGAGCUUACUCGUAUGUGAUUAGCUCAUUUGUAUGUUAGCCCAAUCUGCACGUUGUUGCCACACCCACACACACAUACACAGACAACAAAGCCUAGACACAUACGCAUCGCAUCGCAUGGCAUCUGUA